AAGUAAAAAUGCUUUGGAUACAAGUUUUAGCUGUAGGACAAUAUCAAUUGCAGCAUCGCAACCUGAAUCACAGAGUAGCAAAAGUGGGGAGCCGCGUCAUAAGGGGCCUGAUAUCGUAGAGAAUUAAUUAGUAGAUUUUGCUCAAAUUUGUCGAGCAAAAAAUUUGUUGUUAUUGGACUCUGUCUAUGAUCAUCACUUGCAUAUGAGAAGAGGUCAGUUGGUAUAGUUUGUAGACUGCGUCAAAUGCAUAAUGCAAGUGUAUCAAUGAAGUGUUAUUCUGUACCAAGAUGAGUGUCAUAAGGGCAAGAGCAACGACAAGGAACUAAUUAAAGAUUAUAAAUCCAAUUUGUUCUGAGAUAUGAAGUUGUGAUUAAAAAUUGAAUUUGAUCAUAAGCACUGUGUGGAUGAUGAUGAUGAUGAUGAGAUGGUCAGUACUUUUUGAACCAAAAAUACCAUAUAUAGCUUCAAAGUUUUUUUUUUUUAGUAUCAUUUGGGGUGAGCAAAUCUAUUACAAAUCCAUUUUUAAUCCAUGUUGUCUUGACAGAGUUUUAUAAAAAUUUAAUCUUUAAAAAAAAUUAUACUUUUACAUCCAAAAUAAUAUUUAAAAACUAAAAUAAUAUUAUUUUAAUAUAUUUUCGUGUAAAAAAUACUUUAAAAAAUAAUUAUAAAAAUAAAAUCAUUAAAAAGAAAUUAAUUAAUUGAUAUGAAUCGGAUUUCUCAAAUCAACAUGGUCUCUUAUGUAACGAGAAUUUUAGUGAUGAUGGCGAGGUGGGUAUUUUACAAAUGAUUUAAGGAGUGUUUGUGAGAGUAAUAUAUAUUAUUUUUUAAAAUAUUUUUUGUUUGUCAAAAUAAUUUUUAUAAAAAAUCACUCUACAAUACUAAAUAUUAUCUUUAUUUAUUUUUAAAAUUUUAUUUUUAUCAUAAGUAUAUUAAAAUAAUUUAAAAGCAUAAAAAAAUUAAAAAUAACAAAUUACCGCAGCCACGAACACCCUCUUGAUGCCACGAAUGGAGGUGCUGAGGCUGGCCCGAGAGAGUAGCUUCGGCGGCGAAGUCGUGUGGGUGCGAGAGAAGGUCUUCGUUAUUCCCUUGCUCUCGUCAUUUCCACUUCGGGCUCCGUUCAAUAUUCCACAGUUAUAGUAAUUGGA
rnacentral:lncRNA from 1 species